rnacentral:rRNA from 1 species
UACGUAGGUCCCGAGCGUUGUCCGGAUUUAUUGGGCGUAAAGCGAGCGCAGGUGGUUUAAUAAGUCUGAUGUAAAAGGCAGUGGCUCAACCAUUGUGUGCAUUGGAAACUGUUAGACUUGAGUGCAGGAGAGGAGAGUGGAAUUCCAUGUGUAGCGGUGAAAUGCGUAGAUAUAUGGAGGAACACCGGUGGCGAAAGCGGCUCUCUGGCCUGUAACUGACACUGAGGCUCGAAAGCGUGGGGAGCAAACAGG